rfam:Lachnospiraceae bacterium 10-1 genomic scaffold acPFo-supercont1.5, whole genome shotgun sequence.
UUUGGGAGAAUAUUAGAAAUUCUUAGUAUCUCCCUUCACGGACCAGCAAUAAUCGGACAGGAAGUCCGAUUAAGGUGCAACUUGGUCAUGGAUGACCAAUGCACCGGUAGCGUGAUAAGUCAUUACUUUGGCAGAGAUACUUAGAAUUUCUUAUCUCCGUACAUA